rnacentral:rRNA from 1 species
UACGUAGGGUGCGAGCGUUAAUCGGAAUUACUGGGCGUAAAGAGUGCGUAGGCGGUUCUUUGUGUCCGCUGUGAAAGCCCCGGGCUUAACCCUGGGAAGUGGCAGGUGGAAACGUAGAGAACUUGAAUCUGGCAGAGGGGGGUGGAAUGGCCACGUGUAGCAGUGAAAUGCGUAGAUAUGUGGCGGAACACCGAUGGCGAAGGCAGCCCCCUGGGCUGAGAUUGACGCUCAGGCACGAAAGCGUGGGGAGCAAACAGG